UUACGACUACAUAUCAGGCAUAUCAAUAAGCGGAGGAAAAGAAACUAACAAGGAUUCCCCUAGUAACGGCGAGUGAAGCGGGAAGAGCUCAAAUUUGAAAUCUUAAAGGGUUUCCCUUUACGAAUUGUAGUUUAAAGAAGUGUUUUCUGUUGGAGUUUCGGUAAAAGUUCUUUGGAAUAGGACAUCAUAGAGGGUGAGAAUCCCGUAUUUGACGUCACUUUCUACUAGCGUUGUGAUACACUUUCAACGAGUCGGAUUGUUUGGGAAUGCAGUCCAAGAUGGGUGGUAAAUUUCAUCUAAAGCUAAAUAUUGGCGAGAGACCGAUAGCGAACAAGUACCGUGAGGGAAAGAUGAAAAGAACUUUGAAAAGAGAGUUAAACAGUACGUGAAAUUGUCAAAAGGGAAGCGUUUGACACCAGUGUUGUUUAGUUGAAAAUCAAUUCAAUAGUUUUUGAUUCUAAGUAGUAUUGACUUCAUCAGCUUGCUGCUUUCUUCUCAGAAAUUAUUGAAUGCACUUUUCAGUUAACAAGUCAACAUCAAUUUCUUUUGUUGUAAGAGGGUUGAGAGGAUGGUGGCUUGCGCUUUCGGAUAAAGUGUUUAUAGCCUUUAUACCUCUGACAAUCGGAGAGAUUGAGGUCUGCAGCGUAGAUCCUUCGGGGCUAGAUACACUUGUGCUAAGUUAUAGCUUUUCAUAGACAACUUGUUGACUAUGUUUAGUCAUGUAGCUUACCCGCUUGUGCUAUUUUACCUACGCUUAGGAUGUUGAUCUACAGAGCGAGAGU
rnacentral:rRNA from 1 species